rnacentral:rRNA from 2 species
GUUCACGGUCAUAGUCUUCAGGGAAAGACCCGAUUCCCAUCUGAACUCGGAAGUGAAUCCUGAAGACGCCGUCUAGUACUGCUCUCCGAAAGGGGGCGGGAAAGGACGGUGCUGUGAACC